GCAGGCGCGGUCCCCACAAGCAACGCGUUUGUAGGCGGUUAGGUGCGCACGCUCUGUCCCGGCGUGACCUUCCGACCCUGCUGUCCUCACCGCAAUGGCGGCUGUGAGGGCCCUGGUGGGCUCGAGGCUCGCUGCGGCAUCUGCCUUCGCGUCCCUGUCCCCCGGCGGUCGGACGCCUUCCCAGCGCGCAGCCAUUCACCUCUCCGCGCCGCAGCCCGCGGCCAAGGUCGCGCUGGUGCUGUCUGGAUGCGGAGUCUACGAUGGGACCGAGAUCCAUGAGGCCUCGGCGAUCCUGGUGCACCUGAGCCGUGGAGGGGCCGAAGUCCAGAUCUUUGCUCCUGACGUCCCUCAGAUGCACGUGAUUGACCACACCAAGGGGCAGCCUUCUGAAAGCGAGAGCAGGAAUGUUUUGACCGAGUCUGCAAGGAUUGCCCGUGGCAAGAUCACAGACCUGGCCAAGCUCAGUGCAGCCAACCAUGAUGCCGCCAUCUUUCCAGGAGGCUUUGGAGCGGCUAAAAACCUGAGCACGUUUGCCGUGGACGGAAAAGAUUGCAAAGUUAAUAAAGAAGUGGAGCGUGUCCUGAAGGAGUUCCACCAGGCCGGGAAGCCCAUCGGCUUGUGCUGCAUCGCGCCUGUCCUCGCAGCCAAGGUGCUCAGAGGAGUCGAGGUCACCGUGGGCCAUGAGCAGGAGGAAGGUGGCAAGUGGCCUUACGCUGGGACCGCGGAAGCCAUCAAGGCCUUAGGUGCCAAGCACUUCGUGAAGGAAGUGGCCGAAGCUCACGUGGACCAGAAAAACAAGGUGGUCACGACCCCAGCUUUCAUGUGCCAGGCGGCACUCCACCACAUCCACGACGGGAUCGGGGCCAUGGUGCAGAAGGUGCUGGAACUCACUGGAAAGUGACGCGCAUGGACGGGGUCCCAGCUUGGUGCCAGGACUUGGCCUCACGCUCUGGCUGAGGCUUUCUGGAACCUUCCAGGGCCCUGUUACUCCCACCACUUCUUCUGAGGGCGUGCCCACCACGUGCUGACUCUGUACCCGUUUUACCUCAUUUAGCCGUCGCUGCAGACGUGCAUCGUAGCCGUAUCGGCAACUCAGCGCUGCUGUGGCAAAUCACCACACACCCAAACCAGCAGAGAGUCCCCCUCCCCGGCUCUGGUGCCAGAAGCCCAAGAUCAAGGUGUGGGCAGGGCUGGCCCCCCGAGGCCAUGAGAGGGGUCUGUCCCAGGCCGCUCCUGGCCUUGUGGCCUGAGGUCUUCGGUGCUCCCUGGCUGGUGGAAGUGCUGCUGCGGCCUCGGCCCCAUGUCGUGUGGCCUGCUCUCGCUCUGUGUGUCUGGGUGGGUCAGGGCCCACCCGGCUGACCUCGCUUUAACCUCAUUACCUCUGUGCAGACCCUGCCUCCAAAUAAGGUCACGUUCACAGGUCCUGGGGUCAAAUAAGGUCACACUCACAGAUACUGGGGUCAACUAAGGUCAUACUCACAGGUCCGGGGGUCAGGACCUCGACACAUGGCUGUGGGGGACACAGUUCAGCCCAGGAGGGAAACUGAGGCACAGAAUGGGGUGCACUUCCUGAGGCCCCAUGGCUCACAAGGAGACAAGGAGGGGCUGCAGGCUGGGGUCCCAGAUGCCCUCUCACACAGCAGCCACCAUCCUAGCCAGUCCCAGCCCCUCCUGGGUCCCCCCGUCUUUACUCAGGGUGGCCCCAUGUGCCCGGCCUGUCCUCAGGUCACCCUGACUCUAGCGUGGGAUACCCCACCUCAGAGGGCACCUCCUCGGGGUUGGGUUACGGUUUUUUAAGUCUCGUGGAACGCCCCCCGACGGCGUGGGCCCGGCUCUUGAGGAGGUGGGCCGUGGUCUUGGCUGACGGUGCAACACCCACACACCUGACCCAGUUAGGACCUCUGAUCUGGAAUGGCUGCUGACUCAGUUUCCCUACAUGGAAACCACCCCUCAUGCCAGCCUUUUCUGUCCCCUGCUGCAGCCUCCCUGGUGGGUCUCGUGCACCCUGGGUGGCCUGGGUUCUUGGCCCCAAGGGAAAAGGGGGCUCCUGCUAGGGGCAGAGAGGGAGGGACAGGGCAGGGCCUGGAGCGAGAUUUCAGGAUUGUCUUCGGAUGGCACGGCCUGGUCCUCAGCUUCUGAUCAUUUUCUUCAUUUUCACGACUCCCUGCACUUCCUGGUUUUGGGUGAGGCCAAAUAGCAGAAGUAUUAAAAUAUUCCUCCUCGAG